rnacentral:lncRNA from 1 species
UAAUAAGUUAUUCUGAUGGAUAAAAGAUUUCCGACACAUAAUUUAUUUACUGUCGGAUUAAAGUUACUUUCUGUCGGAUAUAUUCGACAUAAAUUCCUGGCGGAUUUUUCCUGACGGAUUUAACCGCCAUGAAAUUAUUAUAACCCUCAGUAUUUUUGAAUUCUUUUUUUUUAAUAUUUUAAAGAUAUUCUGGCGGUUUCUAAGUUAAUUGUGGCGGUUAUAACCGACAUAAAUUGACUAUUUUAUUAUUUUAGAAUCUGAUGGUCAUUAUUUUAGUAUUUUGCCGGUUAUAACCGACAGAAAUUGAUUAUUUUAUCAUUUUAAAAUGUUACAUUCAUUAAAAAUAAAUAAAAAAAUGGUGUAAAUAUUUUGUAUUCACUCACGGUCCCAUUACCUAAUCUCUGAAUGUUUUUUUUUUUUUUUGCGAUUUUUUACAAAUGCUAUCUCGGAGUACAUACAAACGGUUGAAUCGUUGAAACUAGUUUCGUAAAAUGCAUGUCCUAUCAAAUUGAUAGAUUUAACAAACACUUAAGAGUUAAUGUUAUACUUCCAUUAAGUAUAAAAAAUUAUCCACUAGUGUAAAUAUUUUAAAUUGAAGAUCGAAUUUGUUCAAUGCAUUCUUAUAGGGUCGAGGAGUGUAGCUGUAAAAAAUCAUCAAAAUCGAAGCUAAAAUAACCGUUAAAUUGUGAUUUUUUGUUUAUAAUCAUUGAAAAUUUAUGUUUCAUUACCUAAUCUCUUAAUGUUUGUUUUUUACAAUUUUUUACGUAUGCAAUCUCGGAGUGUGUACAAAUAAGUUUAACGGUUGGAUCGUUGAAAAAAGUUAAAUAGAAUGUAUAUUGCAUCAAAAUUGUAGAUUAAACAAACACUAGUUAAUAUUAUACUUCUAUUAAGUAUAAAAUAAGAUUUUGUGGUAUCCACUAGUGUAAAUAUUUUAAAUUGAAUAUCAAAUUUAUUCAUUACAUUCUUAUAGGAUCGAGGAGUGUAGCUGUAAAAAAAUCAUCAAAAUCGGAGCUAAAAUAACCGUUAAAUUGUGAUUUUUCUUUUAUAACCGUCGAAAACUUUUGUUCCGUUACCUAAUCUCUGAAUGUUUGUUUUUUACGAUUUUUUACGUAUGCAAUCUCGGAGUGUGUACAAAUAAGUUUGAUGGUUGGAUCGUUGAAAAAAGUUUUGUAGAAUGCAUAUUGCGUCAAAACGGUAGAUUAAACAAACACUUGAAAGUUAAUAUUAUACUUCUAUUAAGUAUAAAAUAAGAUUUUGUGUUAUCCACUAGUGUAAAUAUUUUAAAUUAAAGAUCAAAUUUAUUCAUUACAUUCUUAUAGGGUCGAGGAGUGUAGCUGUAAAAAAUCAUCAAAAUCGGAGCUAAAAUAACCGUUGAAUUGUGAAUUUUCUUUUAUAACCAUCGAAAACUUUUGUUCCGUUACCUAAUCUCUGAAUGUUUGUUUUUUACGAUUUUUUACGUAUAAAAUCUCGGAGUGUGUACAAAUAAGUUUGACGGUUGGAUCGUUGAAAAAAGCUUCUUAGAAUGCGUAUCACAUCAAAACAGUAGAUUAAACAAACACUUAGAGUUAAUGUUAUACUUCCAUUAAGAAUAAAAUAAGAUUUUGUAAUAUCCACUAGUGUAAAUAUUUUAAAUUAAAGAUCAAAUUUAUUCAUUACAUUCUUAUAGGGUCAAAAAGUGAAGCUGUAAAAAAUCAUCAAAAUCGGAGCUAAAAUAACCGUUAAAUUGGGAUUUUUCGUUUAUAAUUGUCGAAAACUUUUGUUCUGUUACGUAAUCUCUGAAUGUUUAUUUUUUACAAUUUUUUACGUAUGUAAUCUCGGAGUGUGUACAAAUAAGUUUGACGGUUGGAUCGUUGAAAAACGUUUGGUAGAAUGCAUAUUGUGUCAAAACGGUAGAUUAAACAAACACUUAGAGUUAAUAUUAUAUUUAUAUUAAGUAUAAAAUAAGAUUUUGUGUUAUCCACUAGUGUAAAUAUUUUAAAUUAAAGAUCAAAUUUAUUCAUUACACUCUUAUAGGGUCGAGCAGUGUAGCUGUAAAAAAUCAUCAAAAUCAGAGCUAAAUAACCGUUAAAUUGUGAUUUUUCGUUUAUAACCAUCGAAAACUUUUGUUCUGUUACAUAAUCUCUGAAUGUUUUUUUUUUACGAUUUUUUACGUAUGCAAUCUCGAAGUGUGUACAAAUAAGUUUGACGGUUGGAUCGUUGAAAAAAGUUUCGUAGAAUGCAUAUUGCGUCAAAACAGUAGAUUAAACAAACACCUAGAGUUAAUAUUAUACUUCUAUUAAGUAUAAAAUAAGAUUUUAUGGUAUCCACUAGUGUAAAUAUUUUAAAUUAAAGAUCAAAUUUAUUUAUUACAUUCUUAUAGGGUUGAGGUGUGAAAAGUGUGAAAAGUAAUUUGUGCUAAGUAAUUUGUUUAUUACAUUCUUAAAUAUUUUAAAUUAAAGAUCAAAAUUUAUUUAUUUUCAAGUGUGAAAAGUAAUUUGAAGUGUGAUGACAUUUUCAUUGUACAAUUAUAUUUUUGUUUCUUUAUUGCAUAUUUAACAUGGAUUAUUAUCUAUUAAACCAAACAAUUAUUUAUUUUCACAAAAAAAAAAUUAUUUAUUUAAUUUUAAAAAACGUAUUAUAUUUAAAUACAUAUUAUCUAUUUAUUUACUACACAAUUAUUAUUUUAAAUUUUGAAAUCGUAACAAAAUUUUG